rnacentral:rRNA from 1 species
AGCAGCCGCGGUAAUUCCAGCUCCAAUAGCGUAUAUUAAAGUUGUUGCAGUUAAAAAGCUCGUAGUUGAAUUUCGGGGUCAGUAGGCUGGUCGUGCCACUGGUAUGCACUGGUCUCACUGAUUCCUCCUUCCUGAUGAACCGUAAUGCCAUUAAUUUGGUGUUGCGGGGAAUCUGGACUGUUACUUUGAAAAAAUUAGAGUGUUUAAAGCAGGCUAACGCUUGAAUACAUUAGCAUGGAAUAAUGAAAUAGGACGAUCGAUCCUAUUUUGUUGGUUUCUAGGAUUGACGUAAUGAUUAAUAGGGAUAGUUGGGGGCAUUAGUAUUCAAUUGUCAGAGGUGAAAUUCUUGGAUUUAUUGAAGACUAACUACUGCGAAAGCAUUUGCCAAGGAUGUUUUCAUUAAUCAAGAACGAAAGUUAGGGGAUCGAAGACGAUCAGAUACCGUCGUAGUCUUAACCAUAAACUAUGCUGACUAGGGAUCGGAUGAUGUUAAUUUUUAAUGACUCAUCC